AACGUAGGAGACAAACGUUAUCCGGAGUUACUGGGCGUAAAGGGCGUGUAGGUGGUUUCGUAAGUCUGGCGUGAAAUUUUUCGGCUUAACCGGGAAAGGUCGUCGGAUACUGCGGAGCUAGAGGACGGUAGAGGCGUGUGGAAUUCCGGGUGUAGUGGUGAAAUGCGUAGAGAUCCGGAGGAACACCAGUGGCGAAGGCGACACGCUGGGCCGUACCUGACACUGAGGCACGAAAGCGUGGGGAGCAAACAGG
rnacentral:rRNA from 1 species